GCACAGAUGGUCAAUAGCCAGGGGCAUACACUUUAGUUGUUAUUGGCGCAUGCUCUUUAUGAACUGUUGGUGAAAAAAAAAAAUCAGAGGUCAGCACUAUUUGUUUCUGUACUUAAGAGGAUGUUUUGGUACGGCCCCAGCUUCAACAACUGCAAAGAAGCUGGAGACGCUGAACAAAGCGCUUUAGGAGGAGGAGUCAUUUUCUAGUGGUACUGCAGAAUGAGGCA
rnacentral:lncRNA from 1 species